rnacentral:rRNA from 1 species
UAUUGCUCUUCAACGAGGAAUCCCUAGUAGUCGCAUGUCAUCAGCAUGCGACGAUUACGUCCCUGCCCUUUGUACACACCGCCCGUCGCUACUACCGAUUGGAUGGCUCAGUGAGGCUUCUGGAUUGGCGCUGUGGGCAACUGCAGCUGCCGAGAAACUAUUCAAACUCGGUCAUUCAGAGGAAGUAAAAGU